CACGUAGUUAGCCGGGGCUUCCUCCAAGGGUAAUGUCAUUUGUUUCUUCCCCUAGGACAGAAGUUUACAACCCGAAGGCCUUCUUCCUUCACGCGGCGUUGCUGCAUCAGGGUUUCCCCCAUUGUGCAAUAUUCCCCACUGCUGCCUCCCGUAGGAGUUUGGACCGUGUCUCAGUUCCAAUGUGGCCGAUCACCCUCUCAGGUCGGCUACUGAUCGUUGCCUUGGUAAGCCGUUACCCUACCAACUAGCUAAUCAGACGCAGGCCCAUCCCAUACCGAUAAAUCUUUGACAAGUGAUACAUGUGUAUCUCUUGCAUCAUGGGGUAUUAAUCACCUUUUCGGGUGGCUAUCCCCCUGUACAGGGCAGGUUGCCUACGCGUUACUCACCCGUCCGCCGCUUUCCAUAAUGAAAAUCUACCGAAGCUUCAUUUCUUUACUUCUCGCUCGACUUGCAUGUGUUAGGCACGCCGCCAGCGUUCAUCCUGAGCCAGGAUCAAACUCU
rnacentral:rRNA from 1 species